AAGGGACUACGGUUAGCUCAAGCUUGAAGUCAAGAACUGAUAAAGGAGCAAAAAAAAUACUAAAAGAAAAAGGAAGUAAGGAGCAAGGGCACUUUUUUAGCCGAGAAGCGACACAGAUCAAGUAAGUUCAACAAUAGGAAGUAUAACAACGAAAAAGUUGUAACCCGGGGUCUGCUAAAAUCACGAGGCUAAAGAAAGAGAGAAGUGGCAAACAAAAAAAACCCGAGAUUAACGAAGAUACAAAGAGAGAAUGAAUAAGAAUAGUUUGAUGAAAACCACAAUAACCUUGAAAAUAAAAAUAAAGGAUAUGCUCAGUACCUUUUUAGACAAGAUUAGUGGAAAAUCAAAUCACAGCUGACAAGAGUAAGAGAAGAGAGAAUAGCACAAGAUGAUUUGCAUCAAUUAAAAAAGUAAAGUUCGAAGAAAAAUGU